rnacentral:rRNA from 1 species
GACGAACGCUGGCGGCGUGCCUAACACAUGCAAGUCGAGCGGGGUUGAAGCGAGGGGUAACUCAAGCUUCUACCUAGCGGCGGACGGGUGAGUAACGCGUGGGCAACCUGCCUCAAGGUCUGGGAUAACAGCUCGAAAGGGCUGCUAAUACCGGAUAUGCCUAUGGCCUCGCAUGAGGCUAUGAGCAAAGGGGAAACCUGCCUUGAGAUGGGCCCGCGUCCCAUCAGCUAGUUGGUGAGGUAACAGCUCACCAAGGCGACGACGGGUAGCCGGCCUGAGAGGGUGACCGGCCACACUGGGACUGAGACACGGCCCAGACUCCUACGGGGGGCAGCAGUGGGGGAUCUUGCACAAUGGGCGAAAGCCUGAUGCAGCGACGCCGCGUGAGCGAAGAAGGCCUCGGUUGUAAAGCUCUGUCUGGAGGGACGGAAGGAAGUAGACGGUACCGUCCGGACGGAAGCCACGGCUAACUACGUGCCAGCAGCCGCGGUAAACAUACUCG